GAAAGUUUAGGGAAUAAGGGUCGUGAACAAGAAGGGAAAGAAGUGAGAACGUGCGAUUGAUAGUGAUUGUACCUACUAGGGUGAAUGAAAGUUAUUCGUGGAGCAUGGUGACUGGAAUAGUUACGAGACCUUCGAGCACAAGGAUUUUGUAAUGGAGCGGUGAAACGUUCUUAGUAGAGUUUGAGGAAUGCUGAGUUGAGGAAAGGAGUAGCGCGUUUAAAAACCUUCGAGUUAGAAACAAAGGAGAAGGAAGAAACAAUUCCGUCAAAAAAAUGGAAGAAAGAUUAGCUUCCUUUGCACAAAUCGAGCGGCAGAAGUGCCGGCUGAUCGACUCAGCAAUCUCUCUGUUUGCGCGGUGUACACAAAAUCAUGACUGUAAUUUACGAAUAACGAAGAGGAUACACCAUAAAUCAUACUCGUGCCCGUUGCGCUGUGAAAAAAUUUCUUUUCGGAAUUUCCCUUUACGUAACGUGUUAAGAAAGAUACAAGUUGCUCAGAAUUAUCAUAGAUCAUUUCCUUUCUUAAGCGUGAUAUUUAGAAAAAAAAUUAGAAAAAAGUAAUGAUACAGAUCAUCUUAAAUUAAACUUUAAAUUUUUCAUCUCAUUGUUCGCACUAUUUAAGAUCAAAUUUCCAAUGUUCUGUUACUCUGGCGACAAAGAUGUGGAAUAAAAAAAGAAGACAGAGACAGAGACAGAGACAGAGACAGAGACAGAGACAGAGACAGAGACAGAGAGAGAGAGAGAGAGAGAGAGAGAGAGAGAGAGAGAGAGAGAGAGAGAGAGAGAGAGAGAGAUUUAGAGCCCGUAUCGAAAUGAUUGGUAAGAGGAGAAGAUUUCGUGGACGACGAAAAUGACAUGUGCCAGUUGCUCGUCUGUGGGUCAAGAUCACGUCUGUUGGCGCAUAUUUCGUCGCUCGAGACCUUGCUUUUCCGAGCCUCUCUUCUUCCUCUCUUUGCCUCCUCCCUUCUUCCCUGUAUUUCCUCGAAUUGCACGCAUCAAUAGACAGAAGUCAAAUAAAAGUUUUGAAAAGUUUCGAUGCAUUUUCCAAUAUGCCCGGCCAAAACUGUUUAAAACCCCGAAAAUCCACUGUGUCCCAUUGCCGUUCUGGAUCGAUCUCGACUUUCAGGAGAACGAUAAACGAAGUAAAUCGAUAGUGGGAAAGUUUCAUUUGCGAGUUUCAUUCGAGAGAGCAGGGUAUUUUACAUUAAUAAAAAAAAGAAAAAAAAUUAGAUAGAACAUUGUGAGCAAAUUGGUGUCUCGAAUUUAAAUAAUGCGAACUUGAAUAAUAAUAAUAAUAAUAAUAAUAAUAUCAGAUCGAGGGGAUAAUAACGGAUCCCUUUGUGAAAAUGGAAAUUUUUUAGAAAUAUUCCCAGCAAGAAAAACGUGUUGUUGUUGAUAACGAUCGAAUAUUCACACGCUGUAUGAAUUGUUCACCUGUCUGUGUGUUUCGCGAGUGAAAGUCCCCAUUAAUGUCCAACCGAGCACAUUAGAGGAUAUUUAAAGAAUUUUUACUUUAUUUUACGAGAAUUUCAAUUUAGAAACCAAGAAAAGAGAAAGCAAGAUUAAUCGAAUAACGUUUUCAAUCCUCUCUCGUUCGGCUCGUGCACAUGGCUGAUCCGAAGGAGCCGUGACACCAUUGCAAAUGAGUAAUUUAGUUUUUUUUCCUGGACGAGAGAAAAAGAAAAAAAAAACUCCGACUAUAUUUGAAUAAAUACAACGAAUACAUUAAUCUAAGAAAGAUCGAGCUCGUUCGAGAUCGAGUAACACGUGCGUACAAAUAGGGAGGGGGGGAAUAAGAGAGAAAUCUAAUAAAAAAAAAUCCAAUUGUCGAUUUUUCUACGCGAAUCCCGUACAGAAAACGAGGAUAAAUAAUUUUUUGGAAAUUUUUCGAACGGGAAAAAUAACGUUUCACUUUUAAAUUUUUAGAGAAAAUUUUUUACAUUUCUAGAUUAGAUUAUCGAUAAUUUAUUGCUAGAACCAAAGAUGCACAUAGAUGUAAGAUUUAAAAAAAAAUCAUAAAUUUCUCUAGCUCCAUCCUGCACCAAAUCUAAAUAUACAUAUCUCUCUCUAUAUAUAAUAUUAACACUUAUAUUCUUGACGGAUCCAAACAUUUAUAAUACAGAGAAACACGACCUUAAUUCGUUGAAUGGUUGCACAACGCGAACGGCAUGUGGAUCCAGCACGUGGCGAACGAAGAGGUUCCCAGAAGAGGUUACAUAGACAGUACGGGUAGAUCUUUCAAACAAGACAAAUCGAAAUAAUAGAAGCUAAUUAACUUACAACUAUCUGUAUUCGCAUGGAAUAUAUUGGUGUUAACAACCAAUUCAAGUGUGUUUACUGUGUUGUUGAAGCAUCGUCUAACGAUAUUCUUAGACCAGACACCCGAAACACAUUUAUUUUCAAUUAGCGUGGGCCUCGUGUAUCGCGGUCAUGUCUUUGCCAGCACACGAAACGAAGAAGGAGAGGAAGGAGACUCGAUAACGAGCCUCAUAAAAGUGAGCCGAAUUUACGAGUGCAACAUAGUCACGUUCUUCACGUUGGGAUGAACUUUCAGUUUAUGCUACGUUGCGUGUGCGUCACAUUUUUACCUAUUUUCUGUGCUACUCAAUAGGGAGCGCAUCGAAUAACAAAAAACUUCAUUGUUCUCCAAGUUUUAUCAGAAAGAAUUGUAAAGAACAAUGAUACACACGUGACGACAAUAGAAAAAUUUUUGAAACGUUUAACCUCCAAGGGAAUGUUUAUUGACACGCAAAGAUGCAA